GACGAACGCUGGCGGCGUGCUUAACACAUGCAAGUCCAACGGAAAGGCCCUGCUUUUGUGGGGUGCUCGAGUGGCGAACGGGUGAGUAACACGUGAGUAACCUGCCCUUGACUUUGGGAUAACUUCAGGAAACUGGGGCUAAUACCGGAUAGGAGCUCCUGCUGCAUGGUGGGGGUUGGAAAGUUUCGGCGGUUGGGGAUGGACUCGCGGCUUAUCAGCUUGUUGGUGGGGUAGUGGCUUACCAAGGCUUUGACGGGUAGCCGGCCUGAGAGGGUGACCGGCCACAUUGGGACUGAGAUACGGCCCAGACUCCUACGGGAGGCAGCAGUGGGGAAUAAUGCACAAUGGGCGGAAGCCUGAUGCAGCAACGCCGCGUGCGGGAUGACGGCCUUCGGGUUGUAAACCGCUUUCGCCUGUGACGAAGCGUGAGUGACGGUAAUGGGUAAAGAAGCACCGGCUAACUACGUG
rnacentral:rRNA from 1 species